UUAUCUCUAAAUAUUCUUUUAUGUAAAAUCUUGUAAAUACACUCUCUGUAUUAUACAAUUUGGCCGAAUGUAUUUUUUUUUAAGUGUUGUGCAAUUAGCGGUGUUCGUCGGGUCAGGAUUGGAGCCAUGGAUACACCAUCAUCAGAUGGUCCAACUGGGUGUUUAAACAGCAUAUUACCUACCAGUAACAAAGCAGUAUUUGCUGAAAAUGGAAGGUUGGGACGACCAGAACCAAUUGUUGGGAUGAUGAACAAUUGUCACUGUAUUAUAUUAUGGAGGUUUUAUUACUUAUUUUAUUUUGUAUCUGACAGCAGAAAAAAGUAAGUAUUAUAUUAUUUAAGAUUCUUGCUAUUAAUCAAAUUUUAUUUAUUUUGUUGUUUAUUUUCAGAUCUGUAUAGUAGCAUAAUUAAUUUCAUUCAAGCUUGAAAUACACAAUAUCUACGAAAGAAGAUCAUAUCAUAUCAUUUAUUGCAUUCCAUAAUGUACAUUUGGUGGAAAAUAUAAAAUAAUAGAGGUAGUCACAAUUAUGAACCCUGAUGGGCAC